CCAAACAAGCUCGUGAUCCAAAAGAUGAUCAAAUUGUUCAAUCUUUCCGUGAAUUGCUUUUGCUCGAGGGCCAUCUGCCAGGGAAACACAGUGAUUACCACACACUUUUACGAUUUUUGCGAAUGAGGGAUUUUGAUCUGAUGAAAGAAAAAGAUAUGUUUUUACAAUAUCUUAAAUGGCGAGAAGAAUUUGAAGUUGAUACAAUUGUAAAGGAAUUUAAGUUCGAAGAGUACAAAGAGGUUAAGAAAUGCUAUCCUCAUGGAUUUCA